GACGAACGCUGGCGGCGUGCUUAACACAUGCAAGUCGAACGGAAAGGCCCUGCUUUUGUGGGGUGCUCGAGUGGCGAACGGGUGAGUAACACGUGAGUAACCUGCCCUUGACUUUGGGAUAACUUCAGGAAACUGGGGCUAAUACCGGAUAGGAGCUCCUGCUGCAUGGUGGGGGUUGGAAAGUUUCGGCGGUUGGGGAUGGACUCGCGGCUUAUCAGCUUGUUUGUGGGGUAGUGGCUUACCAAGGCUUUGACGGGUAGCCGGCCUGAGAGGGUGACCGGCCACAUUGCGACUGAGAUACGGCCCAGACUCCUACGGGAGGCAGCAGUGGAGAAUAUUGCACAAUGGGCCGAAGCCUGAUGCAGCAACGCCGCGUGCGGGAUGACGGCUUUCGGGUUGUAAACCGCUUUCGCCUGUGACGAAGCGUGAGUGACGGUAAUGGGUAAAGAAGCACCGGCUAACUACGUG
rnacentral:rRNA from 1 species